CCUACGGGAGGCUGCAGUGGGGAAUAUUGGACAAUGGGGGCAACCCUGAUCCAGCCAUGCCGCGUGUGUGAAGAAGGCCCUCGGGUUGUAAAGCACUUUCAGUGAGGAAGAACGCCUGGUGGUUAAUACCCAUCAGGAAAGACAUCACUCACAGAAGAAGCACCGGCUAACUCCGUGCCAGCAGCCGCGGUAAUACGGAGGGUGCGAGCGUUAAUCGGAAUUACUGGGCGUAAAGCGCGCGUAGGUGGCUUGAUAAGCCGGUUGUGAAAGCCCCGGACUCAACCUGGGAACGGCAUCCGGAACUGUCAAGCUAGAGUGCAGGAGAGGAAGGUAGAAUUCCCGGUGUAGCGGUGAAAUGCGUAGAGAUCGGGAGGAAUACCAGUGGCGAAGGCGGCCUUCUGGACUGACACUGACACUGAGGUGCGAAAGCGUGGGUAGCAAACAGGAUUAGAUACCCGUGUAGUC
rnacentral:rRNA from 1 species